rnacentral:rRNA from 1 species
UCAUUAAAGAGUUCUAUAACUCCCAAACCCAUGUGAACAUACCUAACGUUGCCUCGGCAGGUCGCACCUACCUUGUAGCACCCUACCCUGUAGGGCCUACCCGGGAGGUGCGGGUAAGCCUGCCGGCGGCCCACCAAACUCUGUUUGAUAUUGAAUUCUGAACCUAUAACUAAAUAAGUUAAAACUUUCAACAACGGAUCUCUUGGUUCUGGCAUCGAUGAAGAACGCAGCGAAAUGCGAUAAGUAAUGUGAAUUGCAGAAUUCAGUGAAUCAUCGAAUCUUUGAACGCAUAUUGCGCCCAUUAGUAUUCUAGUGGGCAGGACCGUUCGAGCGUCAUUUCAACCCUUAAGCCUUCGUUGCUUAGUGUUGGGAGCCUACGGCAACGUAGCUCCUCAAAGUUAGUGGCGGAGUUGGUUCACACUCUAGACGUAGUAAUUUUUAUCUCGCCUAUUAGUUGGACUAAUCCCCUGCCGUAAAACCCCCAAUUUAUCAAGGUUGACCUCGAAUCGGUUCAGACAAACUCGCUAAAUUGAAGCAUCUUAGUCAGCGAAGGAAAAGAAACCAACAGGGAUUGCCCUAGUAACGGCGAGUGAAGCGGCAACAGCUCAA